rnacentral:rRNA from 1 species
GACGAACGCUGGCGGCGUGCUUAACACAUGCAAGUCGAACGGAAAGGCCCUGCUUUUGUGGGGUGCUCGAGUGGCGAACGGGUGAGUAACACGUGAGUAACCUGCCCUUGACUUUGGGAUAACUUCAGGAAACUGGGGCUAAUACCGGAUAGGAGCUCCUGCUGCAUGGUGGGGGUUGGAAAGUUUCGGCGGUUGGGGAUGGACUCGCAGUUUAUCAGCUUGUUGGUGGGGUAGUGGCUUACCAAGGUUUUGACGGGUAGCCGGCCUGAGAGGGUGACCGGCCACAUUGGGACUGAGAUACGGCCCAGACGCCUACGGGAGGCAGCAGGGGGGAAUAUUGCACAAUGGGCGGAAGCCUGAUGCAGCAACGCCGCGUGCGGGAUGACGGCCUUCUAGUUGUAAACCGCUUUCGCCUGUGACGAAGCGUGAGUGACGGUAAUGGGUAAAGAAGCACCGGCUAACUACGUG